rnacentral:rRNA from 1 species
GAAGUCGGAAUUGCUAGUAAUGGCAGGUCAGCAUACUGCCGUGAGUACGUUCCCGGGCCUUGUACACACCGCCCGUCACACCAUGAGAGUUGGGAAUACCCGAAGCCUGCGGCCUAACCUUAUAGGAGGGAGCCGUCGAAGGCAGGCCCGGCGACUGGGGUGAAGUCGUAACAAGGUACC